rnacentral:misc_RNA from 1 species
CCGAGUUAGGGUCGCCUCCGCGCGCCCGACCUCCCAACCCUGUGUCUAAGUUACCUCAUUGUUGCUUCGGUGGGCCGACCCUCACGGGUCGCCGGGCCUUGAAACCGCCUGGAGAGCGCCCGCCGACGGCCAUCAACCAAAACUCUUGACCUAAAACUGUCGUCUGAAUUACUUGAUUAAUAAAUCUA